rnacentral:rRNA from 1 species
ACUCCUACGGGAGGCAGCAGUGGGGAAUAUUGCACAAUGGGGAAACCCUGAUGCAGCCAUGCCGCGUGUGUGAAGAAGGUUUUCGGAUCGUAAAACUCUGUCCUAAGGGAAGAAACAAAUGACGGUACCUUAGGAGGAAGCCCGGCUAACUACGUGCCAGCAGCCGCGGUAAUACGUAGGGGGCAAGCGUUAUCCGGAAUCACUGGGGCGUAAAGGGGUGCGUAGGCGGCUUAGCAAGCCAGGGGUGAAAGGCAUUGGCUCAACCAAUGUAAGCCUUUGGAACUGUUAAGCUUGAGUGCAGGAGAGGUAAGUGGAAUUCCUAGUGUAGAGGUGAAAUUCGUAGAUAUUAGGAGGAACACCAGUGGCGAAGGCGACUUACUGGACUGUAACUGACGCUGAUGCACGAAAGCGUGGGUAGCGAACAGGAUUAGAUACCCUGGUAGCAGAGAG